ACGUUGGUUAGGUUUUACACAGGAGAGAGAGGAACGUUGGUUGGUUUUACACAGGAGGAGAGGAAGAGGAACGUUGGUUAGGUUUUACACAGGAGAGAGAGGAACGUUGGUUAGGUUUUACACAGGAGAGGGAGAGAGAGGAACGUUGGUUAGGUUUUAACAGGGGCAG
rnacentral:lncRNA from 1 species